GGUUAAGCGACUAAGCGUACACGGUGGAUGCCCUGGCAGUCAGAGGCGAUGAAGGGCGUGCUAAUCUGCGAUAAGCGCCGGUAAGGUGAUAUGAACCGUUAUAACCGGCGAUACCCGAAUGGGGAAACCCAGUGUGAUUCGUCACACUAUCAUUAACUGAAUCCAUAGGUUAAUGAGGCGAACCGGGGGAACUGAAACAUCUAAGUACCCCGAGGAAAAGAAAUCAACCGAGAUUCCCCCAGUAGCGGCGAGCGAACGGGGAGGAGCCCAGAGCCUGAAUCAGCAUGUGUGUUAGUGGAAGCGUCUGGAAAGGCGCGCGAUACAGGGUGACAGCCCCGUACACAAAAGCGCAUGUGCUGUGAGCUCGAUGAGUAGGGCGGGACACGUGGUAUCCUGUCUGAAUAUGGGGGGACCAUCCUCCAAGGCUAAAUACUCCUGACUGACCGAUAGUGAACCAGUACCGUGAGGGAAAGGCGAAAAGAACCCCGGCGAGGGGAGUGAAAAAGAACCUGAAACCGUGUACGUACAAGCAGUGGGAGCCCCACCACUAAGCCAGUGGUGAACUCCACAUACGCAUCCUUUGCUGAGGAUACGGUUAACGGAGCGAAAGCGACGUUCAACCUCAAAAGAAGCAGAGGGGGCUUAGUGGUGGGGUGACUGCGUACCUUUUGUAUAAUGGGUCAGCGACUUAUAUUCUGUAGCAAGGUUAACCGAAUAGGGGAGCCGGAGGGAAACCGAGUCUUAAUUGGGCGUUAAGUUGCAGGGUAUAGACCCGAAACCCGGUGAUCUAGCCAUGGGCAGGUUGAAGGUUGGGUAACACUAACUGGAGGACCGAACCGACUAAUGUUGAAAAAUUAGCGGAUGACCUGUGGCUGGGGGUGAAAGGCCAAUCAAACCGGGAGAUAGCUGGUUCUCCCCGAAAGCUAUUUAGGUAGCGCCUCGUGAAUUCAUCUCCGGGGGUAGAGCACUGUUUCGGCUAGGGGGCCAUCCCGGCUUACCAACCCGAUGCAAACUGCGAAUACCGGAGAAUGUUAUCACGGGAGACACACGGCGGGUGCUAACGUCCGUCGUGAAGAGGGAAACAACCCAGACCGCCAGCUAAGGUCCCAAAGUCAUGGUUAAGUGGGAAACGAUGUGGGAAGGCCCAGACAGCCAGGAUGUUGGCUUAGAAGCAGCCAUCAUUUAAAGAAAGCGUAAUAGCUCACUGGUCGAGUCGGCCUGCGCGGAAGAUGUAACGGGGCUAAACCAUGCACCGAAGCUGCGGCAGCGAACGUAUCACUUAAAGCGAUUCAGCGGGUUACGAUUGACGGAGCGAAGCGACGUCAAAGCGUAUACAAAGUCGAGUCGGUUUAAGGAUACGUUCGUUGGGUAGGGGAGCGUUCUGUAAGCCUGCGAAGGUGGCCUGUGAGGGUUGCUGGAGGUAUCAGAAGUGCGAAUGCUGACAUAAGUAACGAUAAAGCGGGUGAAAAGCCCGCUCGCCGGAAGACCAAGGGUUCCUGUCCAACGUUAAUCGGGGCAGGGUGAGUCGACCCCUAAGGCGAGGCCGAAAGGCGUAGUCGAUGGGAAACAGGUUAAUAUUCCUGUACUUGGUGUUACUGCGAAGGGGGGACGGAGAAGGCUAUGUUGGCCGGGCGACGGUUGUCCCGGUUUAAGCGUGUAGGCUGGUUUUCCAGGCAAAUCCGGAAAAUCAAGGCUGAGGCGUGAUGACGAGGCACUACGGUGCUGAAGCAACAAAUGCCCUGCUUCCAGGAAAAGCCUCUAAGCAUCAGGUAACAUCAAAUCGUACCCCAAACCGACACAGGUGGUCAGGUAGAGAAUACCAAGGCGCUUGAGAGAACUCGGGUGAAGGAACUAGGCAAAAUGGUGCCGUAACUUCGGGAGAAGGCACGCUGACACGUAGGUGAAGUGAUUUACUCACGGAGCUGAAGUCAGUCGAAGAUACCAGCUGGCUGCAACUGUUUAUUAAAAACACAGCACUGUGCAAACACGAAAGUGGACGUAUACGGUGUGACGCCUGCCCGGUGCCGGAAGGUUAAUUGAUGGGGUCAGCGCAAGCGAAGCUCCUGAUCGAAGCCCCGGUAAACGGCGGCCGUAACUAUAACGGUCCUAAGGUAGCGAAAUUCCUUGUCGGGUAAGUUCCGACCUGCACGAAUGGCGUAAUGAUGGCCAGGCUGUCUCCACCCGAGACUCAGUGAAAUUGAACUCGCUGUGAAGAUGCAGUGUACCCGCGGCAAGACGGAAAGACCCCGUGAACCUUUACUAUAGCUUGACACUGAACAUUGAGCCUUGAUGUGUAGGAUAGGUGGGAGGCUUUGAAGUGUGGACGCCAGUCUGCAUGGAGCCGACCUUGAAAUACCACCCUUUAAUGUUUGAUGUUCUAACGUGGACCCGUGAUCCGGGUUGCGGACAGUGUCUGGUGGGUAGUUUGACUGGGGCGGUCUCCUCCUAAAGAGUAACGGAGGAGCACGAAGGUUGGCUAAUCCUGGUCGGACAUCAGGAGGUUAGUGCAAUGGCAUAAGCCAGCUUGACUGCGAGCGUGACGGCGCGAGCAGGUGCGAAAGCAGGUCAUAGUGAUCCGGUGGUUCUGAAUGGAAGGGCCAUCGCUCAACGGAUAAAAGGUACUCCGGGGAUAACAGGCUGAUACCGCCCAAGAGUUCAUAUCGACGGCGGUGUUUGGCACCUCGAUGUCGGCUCAUCACAUCCUGGGGCUGAAGUAGGUCCCAAGGGUAUGGCUGUUCGCCAUUUAAAGUGGUACGCGAGCUGGGUUUAGAACGUCGUGAGACAGUUCGGUCCCUAUCUGCCGUGGGCGCUGGAGAACUGAGGGGGGCUGCUCCUAGUACGAGAGGACCGGAGUGGACGCAUCACUGGUGUUCGGGUUGUCAUGCCAAUGGCACUGCCCGGUAGCUAAAUGCGGAAGAGAUAAGUGCUGAAAGCAUCUAAGCACGAAACUUGCCCCGAGAUGAGUUCUCCCUGAGACUUAGAGUCUCCUGAAGGAACGUUGAAGACGACGACGUUGAUAGGCCGGGUGUGUAAGCGCAGCGAUGCGUUGAGCUAACCGGUACUAAUGAACCGUGAGGCUUAACCUU
rnacentral:rRNA from 1 species